rnacentral:rRNA from 1 species
GUGGGGAAUAUUGCACAAUGGGGGAAACCCUGAUGCAGCGACGCCGCGUGAGUGAAGAAGUAUCUCGGUAUGUAAAGCUCUAUCAGCAGGAAAGAUAAUGACGGUACCUGACUAAGAAGCCCCGGCUAACUACGUGCCAGCAGCCGCGGUAAUACGUAGGGGGCAAGCGUUAUCCGGAUUUACUGGGUGUAAAGGGAGCGUAGACGGCAGCGCAAGUCUGGAGUGAAAUGCCGGGGCCCAACCCCGGAACUGCUUUGGAAACUGUGCGGCUCGAGUGCGGGAGAGGUAGGCGGAAUUCCUAGUGUAGCGGUGAAAUGCGUAGAUAUUAGGAGGAACACCAGUGGCGAAGGCGGCUUACUGGACCGUAACUGACGUUGAGGCUCGAAAGCGUGGGGAGCAAACAGG